AUUGAACGCUGGCGGCAGGCUUAACACAUGCAAGUCGAACGAGUGGCGGACGGGUGAGUAAUGUCUGGGAAACUGCCUGAUGGAGGGGGAUAACUACUGGAAACUGUAGCUAAUACCGCAUACCAUCAGAUGUGCCCAAAUGGGAUUAGCUAGUGGGUGGGGUAAUGGCUCACCAAGGCGACGAUCCCUAGCUGGUCUGAGAGGAUGACCAGCCACACUGGAACUGAGACACGGUCCAGACUCCUACGGGAGGCAGCAGUGGGGAAGAUUGCACAAUGGGCGCAAGCCUGAUGCAGCCAUGCCGCGUGUAUGAAGAAGGCCUUCGGGUUGUAAAGUACUUUCAGCGAGGAGGCGUUACCCGCAGAAGAAGCACCGGCUAACUCCGUGCCAGCAGCCGCGGUAAUAC
rnacentral:rRNA from 1 species